GGUGUAGCUCAGGGGAAGAGCACUUGCCUAGAAUGCCCAAGACCCUGGGUUCCAAUCCCAGCACC
rnacentral:tRNA from 1 species